CCUACGGGGGGCAGCAGUCGAGAAUCAUUCACAAUGGGGGAAACCCUGAUGGUGCGACGCCGCGUGGGGGAAUGCAGGUCUUCGGAUUGUAAACCCCUGUCAUGUGGGAGCAAAUUAAAAAGAUAGUACCACAAGAGGAAGAGACGGCUAACUCUGUGCCAGCAGCCGCGGUAAUACAGAGGUCUCAAGCGUUGUUCGGAAUCACUGGGCGUAAAGGGUGCGUAGGCUGUUGCGUAAGUCGUGUGUGAAAGGCGCGGGCUCAACCCGCGGACGGCACAUGAUACUGCGAGACUAGAGUAAUGGAGGGGGAGGCGGAAUGCUCGGUGUAGCAGUGAAAUGCGUAGAUAUCGAGAGGAACACUCGUGGCGAAGGCGGGUUCCUGGACAUUAACUGACGCUGAGGCACGAAGGCGAGGGGAGCGAAAGGGAUUAGAUACCCGUGUAGUC
rnacentral:rRNA from 1 species